UGCGCUUUUUAGUCUCAAAACCAAUCCAUCUCUGAUGGUUAUUGAUGAAUCAUAGAAAUCUUGCGGAUCGAAUGCUUCGGCGUCGACAUAUCAUUCAAGUUUCUGACCUAUCAGCUUCCGACGGUAGGGUAUUGGCCUACCGUGGCUAUGACGGGUAACGGGGAAUUAGGGUUCGAUUCCGGAGAGGGAGCCUGAGAAAUGGCUACCACAUCUAAGGAGGGCAGCAGGCGCGCAAAUUACCCAAUCCUGACACAGGGAGGUAGUGACAAGAAAUAACAAUACGGGGCUUCAAGUCUUGUGAUUGGAAUGAGUAGUUUUUAAACCUCGCUACGAGUAUCAAUUGGAGGGCAAGUCUGGUGCCAGCAGCCGCGGUAAUUCCAGCUCCAAUAGCGUAUAUUAAAGUUGUUGCAGUUAAAAAGCUCGUAGUUGGAUGUCUGCUCGGUUAUGCCGGUCGGCCCUCAGGGUCUGUACUCGGUUAUUUCCGGGCAUUUACUAAGAAACACGACUGCACUUGACUGUGUGGCGUGCUACUUAGUUCCGUUACUUUGAGAAAAUUAGAGUGUUUCAAGCAGGCCU
rnacentral:rRNA from 1 species